GUGGGGAAUAUUGGGCAAUGGGCGAAAGCCUGACCCAGCAACGCCGCGUGAGGGAAGAAGGCCUUCGGGUUGUAAACCUCUGUCCUUGGUGACGAAAAAAAUGACGGUAGCCAAGGAGGAAGCCCCGGCUAACUACGUGCCAGCAGCCGCGGUAAUACGUAGGGGGCGAGCGUUGUCCGGAAUUACUGGGCGUAAAGGGUGCGUAGGUGGCCUUUUAAGUUGGAUGUGAAAUCCCCGGGCUUAACUUGGGUGGUGCAUCUAAUACUGGAGGGCUAGAGUGCAGGAGAGGGAAGCGGAAUUCCUAGUGUAGCGGUGAAAUGCGUAGAUAUUAGGAGGAACACCAGUGGCGAAGGCGGCUUUCUGGACUGUAACUGACACUGAGGCACGAAAGCGUGGGGAGCAAACAGGAUUAGAAACCCUUGUAGUCC
rnacentral:rRNA from 1 species